rnacentral:rRNA from 1 species
UACGUAGGUGUCAAGCGUUGUCCGGAUUUACUGGGCGUAAAGAGCGCGCAGGCGGUCGUUCAAGUCGCGUGUGAAAGCCCCCGGCUCAACUGGGGAGGGUCACGCGAUACUGAUCGACUCGAAGGCAGGAGAGGGAAGUGGAAUUCCCGGUGUAGUGGUGAAAUGCGUAGAUAUCGGGAGGAACACCAGUGGCGAAGGCGACUUCCUGGCCUGUUCUUGACGCUGAGGCGCGAAAGCUAGGGGAGCAAACGGG